rnacentral:rRNA from 1 species
GCUCAUGGACGAAAGCCAGGGGAGCGAAAGGGAUUAGAUACCCCUGUAGUCCUGGCCGUAAACGAUGAACACUAGGUGUCGGGGGAAUCGAUCCCCUCGGUGUCGUAGCCAACGCGUUAAGUGUUCCGCCUGGGGAGUACGCACGCAAGUGUGAAACUCAAAGGAAUUGACGGGGGCCCGCACGAGCGGUGGAGUAUGUGGUUUAAUUCGAUGCAACGCGAAGAACCCUACCAGGGUUUGACAUCCUGCGAAUCUCUUGGAAACAGGAGAGUGCCUUCGGGAACGCAGUGACAGGUGGUGCAUGGCUGUCGUCAGCUCGUGUCGUGAGAUGUUGGGUUAAGUCCCGCAACGAGCGCAACCCACGUCUUUAGUUGCCAGCAUUUAGUUGGGCACUCUAGAGAGACUGCCGGUGAUAAACCGGAGGAAGGUGUGGAUGACGUCAAGUCAUCAUGCCCCUUACAUCCUGGGCUACACACGUACUACAAUGGUAUCUACAACAGGAAGCAAGACUGCGAGGUCAAGCAAAUCCUUAAAAGAUACCUCAGUUCGGAUUGCACUCUGCAACUCGAGUGCAUGAAGCUGGAAUUACUAGUAAUCGUGGAUCAGCGUGCCACGGUGAAUGCGUUCCCGGGCCUUGUACACACCGCCC